UGGGGAAUUUUGGACAAUGGGGGCAACCCUGAUCCAGCGACGCCGCGUGAAGGACGAAGGUCUUCGGAUUGUAAACUUCUUUUGUGGGGGAUGAAUGCCCUGGUGAAAAGCCAGGGGUGACAGUACUCCAUGAAUAAGCCACGGCUAACUACGUGCCAGCAGCCGCGGUAAUACGUAGGUGGCAAGCGAUACUCGGAAUCACUAGGCGUAAAGCGCAGGUAGGCGGUGCGAUAAGUCUCUUGUGAAAGCUCCCGGCUUAACUGGGAGAGGUCAAGGGAAACUGUCGUGCUAGAGUGUGGCAGAGGAAGCUAGAAUUCCCGGUGUAGCGGUGAAAUGCGUAGAUAUCGGGAGGAAUACCUAUGGCGAAAGCAGGCUUCUGGGCCGUCACUGACGCUGAUCUGCGAAAGCUAGGGGAGCAAACAGGAUUAGAUACCCUGGUAGUCCUAGCCCUAAACGAUGCUCAUUAGGUGUGGAAGGUAUCGACCCCUCCGCGCCGAAGCUAACGCAUU
rnacentral:rRNA from 1 species